rnacentral:rRNA from 1 species
UACGGAGGGUGCAAGCGUUAUCCGGAUUCACUGGGUUUAAAGGGUGCGUAGGCGGGCAUGUAAGUCAGUGGUGAAAUCUUUGGGCUUAACCCGAAAACUGCCAUUGAUACUAUGUGUCUUGAAUAUUGUGGAGGCUAGCGGAAUAUGUCAUGUAGCGGUGAAAUGCUUAGAGAUGACAUAGAACACCUAUUGCGAAGGCAGCUGGCUACGCAUAUAUUGACGCUGAGGCACGAAAGCGUGGGGAUCAAACAGG